rnacentral:tRNA from 1 species
GCGGGGUGGAGCAGCCUGGUAGCUCGUCGGGCUCAUAACCCGAAGGUCGCCGGGUGGAGCAGCCUGGUAGCUCGUC